rnacentral:rRNA from 1 species
GCCGCGGUAAACCAGCUCUUCAGUGGUCGGGAUAAUUAUUGGGCUUAAAGUGUCCGUAGCCGGUUUAGUAAGUUCCUGGUAAAAUCGGGUAGCUUAACUAUCUGUAUGCUAGGAAUACUGCUAUACUAGAGGGCGGGAGAGGUCUGAGGUACUACGGGGGUAGGGGUGAAAUCUUAUAAUCCUUGUAGGACCACCAGUGGCGAAGGCGUCAGACUGGAACGCGCCUGACGGUGAGGGACGAAAGCCGGGGGAGCGAACCGGAUUAGAUACCCGGGUAGUCCUGGCCGUAAACGAUGCAUACUAGGUGAUGGCACGGCCAUGAGCCAUGUCAGUGCCGUAGGGAAACCGUUAAGUGUGCCGCCUGGGAAGUACGGUCGCAAGGCUAAAACUUAAAGGAAUUGGCGGGGGAGCACCACAAGGGGUGAAGCCUGCGGUUCAAUUGGACUCAACGCCGGGAAACUUACCAGGGGAGACAGUAGGAUGAUGGUCAGGUUGACGACCUUACCUAACGAGCUGAGAGGAGGUGCAUGGCCGUCGCCAGUUCGUGCUGUGAGGUAUCCUGUUAAGUCAGGCAACGAACGAGAUCCGCACCUUUAUUUGCCACCAAGAAGUUACGACUUCGUUGGGAACACUAAAGGGACCGCCGUUCGAUAAGACGGAGGAAGGAGCGGGCAAAGGCAGGUCAGUAUGCCCCGAAACCCCUGGGCUACACGCGGGCUGCAAUGAUAUGAACAAUGGGCUGUGACUCCGAAAGGAGAAACCAAUCCCGAAAUCAUAUCACAGUGGGGAUUGUCGGCUGUAACCCGCUGACAUGAACGUGGAAUCCCUAGUAAUGGUGUGUCACCAUCGCACGGUGAAUAC